AUACGGAGGAUCCGAGCGUUAUCCGGAUUUAUUGGGUUUAAAGGGUGCGUAGGUGGUUUGAUAAGUCAGCGGUGAAAGUUUGCAGCUUAACUGUAAAAAUGCCGUUGAAACUGUCGGACUUGAGUGUAAAUGAGGUAGGCGGAAUGCGUGGUGUAGCGGUGAAAUGCAUAGAUAUCACGCAGAACUCCGAUUGCGAAGGCAGCUUACUAAGCUGUUACUGACGCUGAUGCACGAAAGCGUGGGGAGC
rnacentral:rRNA from 1 species